rnacentral:scRNA from 1 species
UUCGGGAACAACAUUAGGCUCUAAAGAACCGU